AUGGAUAUUGUGUCUAAACUGGGUUUUAUCUUCAUGUUUGCUCUCACAGAAUUCUGUUGGUGUCAAACACUGACUGAGUCUGAGUCAGUGGUCAUUAAACCUGGAGGAUCUCACAGACUCAUCUGUACAUUCUCUGGAUUUAGUAGUAACCCAGCCUUAGCUUGGAUCAGACAGACUGCAGGAGGAGGUCUGGAGUGGACGGCAUACAUCUCACCUAGUAGUGCUAUAUACUACUCUCAGUCUGUUCAGGGACGCUUCACCAUCUCCAGAGACAACAGCAAGAAACAGAUGUAUCUGCAGAUGAAUAAUAUGAAGAAUGACGACACUGCUGUAUAUUAUUGCGCAAGAGAGACACAGUGA